CGAGUGAAGCGGGAAAAGCUCAAAUUUAAAAUCUGGCGGUCUCCGGCCGUCCGAGUUGUAAUCUAGAGAAGUGUUAUCCGCGCUGGACCGUGUACAAGUCUCCUGGAAUGGAGCGUCAUAGAGGGUGAGAAUCCCGUCUUUGACACGGACUGCCAGGGCUUUGUGAUGCGCUCUCAAAGAGUCGAGUUGUUUGGGAAUGCAGCUCAAAAUGGGUGGUAAAUUCCAUCUAAAGCUAAAUAUUGGCGAGAGACCGAUAGCGAACAAGUACCGUGAGGGAAAGAUGAAAAGAACUUUGGAAAGAGAGUUAAACAGUACGUGAAAUUGCUGAAAGGGAAACGCUUGAAGUCAGUCGCGUUGGCCGGGGAUCAACCUUGCUUUUGCUGGGCGUACUUUCCGGUUGACGGGUCAGCAUCAAUUUUGACCGUUGGAUAAAGUCUAGGGGAAUGUGGCAUCUUCGGAUGUGUUAUAGCCCUUGGUCGCAUACAACGGUUGGGAUUGAGGAACUCAGCACGCCGCAAGGCCGGGUACUUGUACCACGUUCGUGCUUAGGAUGCUGGCAUAAUGGCUUUAAUCGACCCGUCUUGAAACACGGACCAAGGAGUCUAACAUGCCUGCGAGUGUUUGGGUGGAAAACUCGGACGCGUAAUGAAAGUGAAAGUUGAGAUCCCUGUCGCGGGGAGCAUCGACGCCCGGACCAGACCUUUUGUGACGGAUCCGCGGUAGAGCAUGUAUGUUGGGACCCGAAAGAUGGUGAACUAUGCCUGAAUAGGGUGAAGCCAGAGGAAACUCUGGUGGAGGCUCGUAGCGAUUCUGACGUGCAAAUCGAUCGUCAAAUUUGGGUAU
rnacentral:rRNA from 1 species